rnacentral:rRNA from 1 species
UACGUAGGGGCCGAGCGUUGUCCGGAGUUAUUGGGCGUAAAGCGCGCGCAGGCGGCCUCGCGCGCCCGACGUGAAAGCCCCCGGCUUAACCGGGGAGGGUCGUUGGGGACGGCGGGGCUUGAGGGCGGGAGAGGUCGGUGGAAUUCCCGGUGUAGUGGUGAAAUGCGUAGAGAUCGGGAGGAACACCAGCGGCGAAGGCGGCAUCCUGGACUGGUCCUGACACUCAUGAGCGAAAGCGUGGGGAGCGAUCCGG